rnacentral:rRNA from 1 species
GGAUUUCUGGCGGGAGCGGGUGGUCCGGCACUUUGUGUUGGUACUUUCCUGUCUCUUGCCAUCCUUGGGUCUAAGCUGUCUGGCAUUUAGUUGUCGGGCAGUGGCUGCCCAUCGUUUACUGUGAAAAAAUUAGAGUGUUCAAAGCAGGCUUAUGCCGUUGAAUAUAUUAGCAUGGAAUAAUAAGAUAGGACCUUGGUACUAUUUUGUUGGUUUGCGCACCGAGGUAAUGAUUAAGAGGGACAGUUGGGGGUAUUCGUAUUCAAUUGUCAGAGGUGAAAUUCUUGGAUUUCUGGAAGACGAACUACUGCGAAAGCAUUUACCAAGGAUGUUUUCAUUAAUCAAGAACGAAAGUUAGGGGAUCGAAGAUGAUUAGAUACCAUCGUAGUCUUAACCAUAAACUAUGCCGACUAGGGAUUUGUGGGUGUUAUUUUUGACCCCAUGAGCACCUUAUGAGAAAUCAAAGUCUUUGGGUUCCGGGGGGAGUAUGGUCGCA